AAAAAAAAAACCCACCUCGGACUGAAACGGUUCCAAUGCAUUCCACGAGCGUGGACACUCAAAUCCAGUCUGUGGCAGCAUCUGGCUGGAACAAAACGCAGUCAAAACGAGGAAUAGUGCUUGUAAAACAUUUUAAAGUAAAAGAUCAAGUGGGUUUGUUAUUUUUUGUUCUUUUUCUUUAUUUUUCUUUUUGUUUAUUGUCUUUUAAAUUUAAUUUCAUUUAAUUUUUGCUUUGCGUUUUAGUAAGAGUGAAUUCACAAACUGUCUCUCACAUAGACUCGGUCGCGGAUACCGCCAUAUUUGUUGUGCGCCAUGCAUUCUAGGAAGGCAAGGGGGCCAACAACAAUGGCAUUCUGAAAACUGAAGUACUUGUUAUUCCACCAUGAAUGGAGUCAAUAGACGCCUUUGUCAUUUGUCCCCUUGCCUUCCUAGAAUGCACUGCGCACAACAAAUAUGGCGGUAUCCACAACCAAGCCUAUGCUGGGUGGGCUGAUAAUGGGGGUGGGAGGGGGAAACCCUGAUUCUGGAAUUGUUUGAAAAAUGACAAGAUAAAAGGUGCAUAGUUCAACUUAGUCAUAAUUAUUACAUACCAAGUUAUGAAAUGGAUGCUGUCAAUCAUAAUCAGAAGAUGACAAUGUCAAUCUCUUGAUUUUCUAAGUCCUAAUUCUGAGGAAAAAACUGAUCAUUUUAACUUUUAUCAUUUUUCUCAACUGAGUUGGAAAGUCUUGAGUUUGUAAAGCUGAAAAGUUUUGGGGUUUCUGUCUCAUAAUUUCUUUGACUUGGAGAGUCUUCAGUUUGUAAAGUUGAAGUUUGGUGGUUUCUGUCUUAAUUUCUUUGACUUGGAAAGUCUUGAAUUUGUAAGGUUGAAGUUUUGUGGUUUCUGUCUCAUGAUUUCUUUGACGUGGAAAA